UCAAACUUGGUCAUUUAGAGGAAGUAAAAGUCGUAACAAGGUUUCCGUAGGUGAACCUGCGGAAGGAUCAUUAAUGAAAUUUAUGACUGGAGUUGUAGCUGGCCUUUAAAAACGGCAUGUGCACGCUCCUUUCACUAAUCCACACACACCUGUGCACCUUCGCGGGGGUCUCUUUGUUAACCCGGAGAGGCUCGCGUCCCUUUACACACCCUUUGUAUGUCUUAAGAAUGUCUACUCGAUGUAAUAAAACGCAUCUAAUACAACUUUCAACAACGGAUCUCUUGGCUCUCGCAUCGAUGAAGAACGCAGC
rnacentral:misc_RNA from 1 species